GAUGAACGCUGGCGGCGUGCCUAAUACAUGCAAGUAGAACGCUGAAGGUAGGAGCUUGCUCUUUCCGGAUGAGUUGCGAACGGGUGAGUAACGCGUAGGUAACCUGCCUGGUAGCGGGGGAUAACUAUUGGAAACGAUAGCUAAUACCGCAUAACAGUAGAUGUUGCAUGAUAUCUACUUAAAAGGUGCAAUUGCACCACUACCAGAUGGACCUGCGUUGUAUUAGCUAGUUGGUGAGGUAACGGCUCACCAAGGCGACGAUACAUAGCCGACCUGAGAGGGUGAUCGGCCACACUGGGACUGAGACACGGCCCAGACUCCUACGGGAGGCAGCAGUAGGGAAUCUUCGGCAAUGGACGGAAGUCUGACCGAGCAACGCCGCGUGAGUGAAGAAGGUUGUCGGAUCGUAAAGCUCUGUUGUAAGAGAAGAACGAGUGUGAGAGUGGAAAGUUCACACUGUGACGGUAUCUUACCAGAAAGGGACGGCUAACUACGUG
rnacentral:rRNA from 1 species